rfam:Salmo salar isolate Sally breed double haploid chromosome ssa27, whole genome shotgun sequence.
UGCAUUCACUACUGUAAGUCGCUUUGGAUAAGAGUGUCUGCUAAAUGACUAAAC